CACGUAGGCGGAUCUUUAAGUCAGGGGUGAAAUCCUGGAGCUCAACUCCAGAACUGCCUUUGAUACUGGGGAUCUCGAGUCCGGGAGAGGUGAGUGGAACUGCGAGUGUAGAGGUGAAAUUCGUAGAUAUUCGCAAGAACACCAGUGGCGAAGGCGGCUCACUGGCCCGGUACUGACGCUGAGGUGCGAAAGCGUGGAAGCAAACA
rnacentral:rRNA from 1 species